AAUCAGGCAACUGCAGAGUCUUAGGGGGUUAUCUAAUGUAGUCUUGGGGUGGCUGGAUAGACUUCCCAAAGAAGGUGAUGCCGAAGCUGAGGUCGGAAAUUACGAAGAUCAGCUAUCAAACUUGGAAAUCAUGUCUUAGAGAUCAAGGAGCCAAGAGAUGAGACAAGCCUGGGUUCCUAGGUGAUAGGGUGUGGCUGUGUCCCCACCCAAAUCUCGUCUUGAAUUGUAGCUCCCAUAAUCCCCACAUGUUGUGGAGGGACCCUGUGGAAGGUAAUUGAAUUAUGGAGCAUCUACUUGUUUCCAAAGUUAUUUGGGUCAGCAUUUUCCUCCACCCACCACUUAAAACUGAUUUGUUUCAUACAUUUGAAAUGUAUGAAAAGCCAGAAAUCCAGGACCCACCCUGGCCUGCUCCCUUUUUCUCACCUACUGUGUUAAGGAUAAGUCAAUUGAGCUUCACUUCUCUAAUUGAAAUCACCGUGCUGAUGGAGUCUGUCUGUGGAAAUGAAAGGUGGCUACCAUAAUCUGUUGGGAGUUGAAUUAAUCCUCUGGGAGUGAGGCUGACCUAAUUACUCAGAAAUACUGGGCUUGCUUUCAUUCUGUGGAAUACAGCCAUGAGAAAGAGGCCAGCAUGCCAUUUCCUAAUCUUUUCUUGAAUUGCCUGAAACUCACCUAACAUGAAACUGAGAAGCCUUUUCAUUUGAAAGUGGUAUUUCUUAUGUUUUUUAUCUUUUUGCUUGAAAGUAUUCUUAAACUAAAGAAAGGAGAAACAGAAAAGGUGAAGAAGCCAAGAGGCUGGAGUUUCCUUUUGAAUGGAUAUUCAUCCAUGAAGCUGUUGAUUCUGUUUUUCUGUUCCUCCAGAUGUCUACACUUUUACCUCUGCUUGCCUGAUACAACCACCACCAGUCACCUCACAGAAUAACUCACUCCUUAAGAAUCUGAUCAGGAAUCAGCCUUCCCUGAUCACAAACACUGAGUUUAGAAGUCCCUCCACAGUGUCCCCCGUAACCCUGUGCUACCUCACUGCCUCAUAGUUUAGUGCCGUUUGUGUACAUGCCUAUCUUCGUCCAUGGAUCCAGAACAACUUGUAAAAAUGACUGUACUUAUCACCUUCAGUAUUCAAUGACUAAACUAUAAUUUUAACAUAUCUGGCAGAAUGAAUCACUUGGGGAUUUCUGCCAACACUACCAAUAUAUUACUCCUAAUUUGUAAUUAUUACUUAGCAUGGAUUAUAGUACCGGCUGUUGGAGAGCCAAUGUGGCAGACCCUAAGUGGAAUAAAAUGUCAGUAGCAGUCUAGGAGCAUAUAUUUAUUGGAAUAGAUCAUUCAUUCAUUUGUUCAUUAACUAAUUUGUUCAUUAAAUAAACAUUUAUUAAGCACUCAUGG
ensembl:lncRNA CCDC26 CCDC26 long non-coding RNA